CAUCUUGUCGAAAUUUUGCAAGUUCUAGUUUCAAAUUUGCUAAAACAGGUUGCCAAUCUCUGCUAGAAACAUUAUCCACCACCACCUUGAAAAAAUCUUCGUAAGGACCACCUUCGUUAUCAAUAGAAGCAUUGAAAGAAUUUUGUGGAUAAAUACUACUUCCUUUUUCACUAUUUUUUUGAGACCUUGGUUGCCAAACACACAUAGGCCCAUGGUGGCUGUACUCGACACGAGUAAACAAAAUUAUAGAAACCAAAUGAUGAGUUCCUAAGUCUCUCCAAAAAGAAAAAAGAUCAGGAAGAAAACCAUCUAUUGCUUUGUUAUAAUUGAGCUCUCCAUCUUCUUCAAAGUGCCACAUCUCUUCACUCAUUUGAAUAAAAAUUAGAAAUCUGGCACUUUCAGACCGAAAAAUUGGCUUAGUGCGUUCUGAAAUGUACGCUGAAUGACAUUUUUUUCCUUUUCUCCAUAUACAUCUAAUUUCUCCAGGCACAUCUCCUAUAAAGGAAACACGCUGUUUUAGAUAAACGCAUUUACCGCAUAAUUCUCUAAAAAGCUUCCACAUAUCGCUUCUAGAUAUAAAUUGGUCCCGAAAAAAAAUUACCACAUGUUCGGCUUCUAAAUUAGUUUUGUCUUCACAAAUUUUGACAACCACCGGUUCACGAUUUUUUAUAUUGAGCAAAGAGCUUAUGUGAGAUACAACUGAAAGUUGCAGAUUCGGAUGUCGCCUCUUUAAAUCAUCUGUUAAAGGGGAGGGCAUCAAAUAUACUGGUUCUUUUUCACGUUUAGCAUGUAGUUUCCCUGUGCUUGAGUGAUUAUGCUGUAAAGCGAUUUCAUCACCAUUUUGGGCCCUUAUUUCAAAAAUAUCACCAGGUUUAGCAGAAGGUACUAAAUCAUAAUUUAAGACUGCAUCGUUUGGAAACAAUGAUGAUUCGUGCGUCCACAGGUUCAAGGUAAUAGCCAUUUCAUGAAUUGAACAACCUACGCCAUU